ACAGGGAUUGCCUCAGUAACGGCGAGUGAAGCGGCAAAAGCUCAAAUUUGAAAUCCCCCGGGAAUUGUAAUUUGAAGGUGGCCUCAGUUAGUCCAAACAUUCUUAAGUCCAUUGGAAAAUGGCGCCAUGGAGGGUGAUAGCCCCGUAAAGAUGUCGUUUGUUCUAUUUUCUCUGGCCACCAAAGAGUCGAGUUGUUUGGGAAUGCAGCUCUAAGUGGGUGGUAAAUUCCAUCUAAAGCUAAAUAUUGGCGAGAGACCGAUAGCGAACAAGUACAGUGAUGGAAAGAUGAAAAGCACUUUGAAAAGAGAGUGAAAAAGUACGUGAAAUUGUUGAAAGGGAAGGGCUUGCAAGCAGACACAACCUCGUGUUGGGCCAGCAUCGGGGCGAGAGGAAGUAAAAACGAUUUGGAAAUGUAACUUUCGAGUAUUAUAGACCUUAUCCCUCCCUUCCAUCUCAUCCCGAGGCCU
rnacentral:rRNA from 1 species